AUACGGAGGGUGCAAGCGUUAAUCGGAAUUACUGGGCGUAAAGCGUACGUAGGCGGUUAGAUGAGUUGGAUGUGAAAGCCCUGGGCUCAACCUAGGAACUGCAUUCAAAACUGUCUAACUAGAGUGUAUAAGAGGUUAGCGGAAUUCCAGGUGUAGCAGUGAAAUGCGUAGAUAUCUGGAGGAACAUCAGUGGCGAAGGCGGCUAACUGGUAUAACACUGACGCUGAGGUACGAAAGCGUGGGGAGCGAACGGGAUUAGAAACCCCAGUAGUCC
rnacentral:rRNA from 1 species